GCUGGGCAUGGUGGUGCAUGCCUGUAAUCUCAGCUACUCAGAAGGCUGAGUCAGGAAGAUGGCAAGGUCUACACUAGCCUCAGCAACUGGACAAGACCUGUCUCAA
rnacentral:sRNA from 1 species